CGCCCUCCUCUUGGCCUACUCACCGUCGUUGGUAUGCCCCAUCUCGAUGAGAGUCUCCUCAUUCUUCUUCCCCACGCGGUUCAUGGCUGCUUGAAAGAGGCUGGCUGGAAGUGGAUCUGGUUGAUGGACCUAGCUUCUGGUAACAACAGCAACAACAAUGAAAGACAGUAGAUUCUGCAAAAUUGAAGUCUGCUCAUCUACAGCCUGGAAGAUUCAUGUAACAAUCAUGGCCUUCUUGGGGAUUCUGCCAUAAUUUUGUUCCAAAUCUCUUAUCUUUCUGUUUCCUACCUGUAAAUAAAUGAUUGUAUUCAAUGGGCA